rnacentral:rRNA from 1 species
GAUGAACGCUGGCGGCGUGCCUAAUACAUGCAAGUCGAGCGAACGGACGAGAAGCUUGCUUCUCUGAUGUUAGCGGCGGACGGGUGAGUAACACGUGGAUAACCUACCUAUAAGACUGGGAUAACUUCGGGAAACCGGAGCUAAUACCGGAUAAUAUUUUGAACCGCAUGGUUCAAAAGUGAAAGACGGUCUUGCUGUCACUUAUAGCUGGAUCCGCGCUGCAUUAGCUAGUUGGUAAGGUAACGGCUUACCAAGGCAACGAUGCAUAGCCGACCUGAGAGGGUGAUCGGCCACACUGGAACUGAGACACGGUCCAGACUCCUACGGGAGGCAGCAGUAGGGAAUCUUCCGCAAUGGGCGAAAGCCUGACGGAGCAACGCCGCGUGAGUGAUGAAGGUCUUCGGAUCGUAAAACUCUGUUAUUAGGGAAGAACAUAUGUGUAAGUAACUGUGCACAUCUUGACGGUACCUAAUCAGAAAGCCACGGCUAACUACGUG